rnacentral:ncRNA from 1 species
GAAAGUUAGGGGAUCGAAGACGAUCAGAUACCGUCGUAGUCUUAACCAUAAACUAUGCCGACUAGGGAUCGGACGAUGUUAUUUUUUGACUCGUUCGGCACCUUAGAUCCGUAACUUCGGGA